rnacentral:rRNA from 1 species
AUUGAACGCUGGCGGCAUGCCUUACACAUGCAAGUCGAACGGCAGCACGGGAGCAAUCCUGGUGGCGAGUGGCGAACGGGUGAGUAAUGUAUCGGAACGUGCCCAGUCGUGGGGGAUAACGCAGCGAAAGCUGUGCUAAUACCGCAUACGAUCUAUGGAUGAAAGCGGGGGAUGGCAAGACCUCGCGCGAUUUGAGCGGCCGAUAUCAGAUUAGGUAGUUGGUGGGGUAAAGGCCCACCAAGCCUGCGAUCUGUAGCUGGUCUGAGAGGACGAUCAGCCACACUGGGACUGAGACACGGCCCAGACUCCUACGGGAGGCAGCAGUGGGGAAUUUUGGACAAUGGGCGCAAGCCUGAUCCAGCAAUGCCGCGUGAAGGAUGAAGGCCUUCGGGUUGUAAACUGCUUUUGUACGAGACGAAAAGACUCGCUCUAAUACAGUGGGUACAUGACGGUAUCGUAAGAAUAAGCACCGGCUAACUACGUGCCAGCCGCCGCCGUAA